rnacentral:rRNA from 1 species
GAUGAACGCUGGCGGCGUGCCUAAACCAUCCAGUUCAAGCAAAAGAAGGGGAGCUUGCCCCCUUUUCCUUUGCGGCCGGCGGGUUAGUUACAAGGAAGGUACCUUCCCUUUAGGCCUGGGUUACCUUCGGGAACCCGAGUCUAUAACCGGUAAUUAUUUCGAACGUCAGGGUUCAUUGGGAAAGAAGGCCUUGCCUGCACCUUUUGGUGGACCUGCGCCGUAUUAGCUAGUUGGUAAGGUAACGGCUUACCAAGGCAACGAUACGUAGCCGACCUGAGAGGGUGAUCGGCCACACUGGAACUGAGACACGGUCCAGACUCCUACGGGAGGCAGCAGUAGGGAAUCUUCCGCAAUGGGCGAAAGCCUGACGGAGCAACGCCGCGUGAGUGAUGAAGGUCUUCGGAUCGUAAAACUCUGUUAUUAGGGAAGAACAAACGUGUAAGUAACUGUGCACGUCUUGACGGUACCUAAUCAGAAAGCCACGGCUAACUACGUG